GACGAACGCUGGCGGCGUGCUUAACACAUGCAAGUCGAACGGAAAGGCCCUGCUUUUGUGCGGUUCUCGAGUGGCGAACGGGUGAGUAACACGUGAGUAACCUGCCCUUGACUGUGUGAGAACUUCAGGAAACUGGGGCUAAUACCGGAGAUGAUCUCCUGCUGCAUGGUGGGGGUUGGAAAGUUUCGGCGGUUGGGGAUGGACUCGCGGCUUAUCAGCUUGUUGGUGGGGUAGUGGCGUACCAAGGCUUUGACGGGUAGCCGGCAUGAGAGGGUGACCGGGCACCUUGGGACUGCGAUAGGGACCAGACUACUAUGGGCGGCAGCAGUGGGAAAUCUUGCAGAAUGGGCCGAAGUCUGAUGCAGCAACGCCGCGUUCGGGAUGACGUCCUUCGGGUUGUAAACAGCUUUCGCCUGUGACGAAGAGUGAGUGACGGUACUGGGUCAAGAAGCACCGGCUAACUACGUG
rnacentral:rRNA from 1 species